AACACGUGGGAACGUGCCUUUAGGUUCGGAAUAACUCAGAGGAAACUUGUGCUAAUACCGAAUGUGCCCUUCGGGGGAAAGAUUUAUCGCCUUUAGAGCGGCCCGCGUCUGAUUAGCUAGUUGGUGAGGUAAAGGCUCACCAAGGCGACGAUCAGUAGCUGGUCUGAGAGGAUGAUCAGCCACAUUGGGACUGAGACACGGCCCAAACUCCUACGGGAGGCAGCAGUGGGGAAUCUUGCGCAAUGGGCGAAAGCCUGACGCAGCCAUGCCGCGUGAAUGAUGAAGGUCUUAGGAUUGUAAAAUUCUUUCACCGGGGACGAUAAUGACGGUACCCGGAGAAGAAGCCCCGGCUAACUUCGUGCCAGCAGCCGCGGUAAUACGAAGGGGGCUAGCGUUGCUCGGAAUUACUGGGCGUAAAGGGAGCGUAGGCGGACAUUUAAGUCAGGGGUGAAAUCCCGGGGCUCAACCUCGGAAUUGCCUUUGAUACUGGGUGUCUUGAGUAUGAGAGAGGUGUGUGGAACUCCGAGUGUAGAGGUGAAAUUCGUAGAUAUUCGGAAGAACACCAGUGGCGAAGGCGACACACUGGCUCAUUACUGACGCUGAGGCUCGAAAGCGUGGGGAGCAAACAGGAUUAGAUACCCUGGUAGUCCACGCCGUAAACGAUGAUUGCUAGUUGUCGGGAUGCAUGCAUUUCGGUGACGCAGCUAACGCAUUAAGCAAUCCGCCUGGGGAGUACGGUCGCAAGAUUAAAACUCAAAGGAAUUGACG
rnacentral:rRNA from 1 species